rnacentral:snRNA from 1 species
AUACCUACCUGGUGUCGGGGCCUCGUUGAUCACCGAGGGCGAGCCCCCAGGGCAAGGCACGGGCACUGCCCGCCCUCGCAUUGACCCCUGCCACUACCUUAAACUAGGGCAGAUGGGGCAUGCACAUUGCUUCAAUCCGGUUCAACGCAAGAGAUGAUGCCACCGCC